CGUGAGUGAUGAAGGCUUUCGGGUCGUAAAGCUCUGUCAAGUGGGAAGAACCUGCAGUAUGCCAAUAUCAUAUUGCACUGACGGUACCACUGAAGGAAGCACCGGCUAACUCCGUGCCAGCAGCCGCGGUAAUACGGGGGGUGCAAGCGUUAUUCGGAAUCAGUGGGCGUAAAGAGCACGUAGGCGGCCUGGUAAGUCAGAUGUGAAAGCCCGGGGCUUAACCCCGGAAGUGCAUUUGAUACUGUCAGGCUUGAGUAUGGGAGAGGGAAGUGGAAUUCCUGGUGUAGAGGUGAAAUUCGUAGAUAUCAGGAGGAACACCGGUGGCGAAGGCGACUUCCUGGACCAAUACUGACGCUGAGGUGCGAAGGCGUGGGUAGCAAACAGGAUUAGAUACCCUGGUAGUCCACGCAGUAAACGUUGUUCACUAGGUGUAGCGGGUAUUGACCCCUGCUGUGCCGCAGUUAACGCAUUAA
rnacentral:rRNA from 1 species